rnacentral:rRNA from 1 species
GAUGAACGCUGGCGGCGUGCCUAAUACAUGCAAGUCGAGCGAACGGACCAGAAGCUUGCUUCUCUGAUGUUUGCCGCAGACGUGUGAGUAACACGUGGAUAACCUACCUAUAAGACUGGGAUAACCUCGGGAAACCGGAGCUAAUACCGGAUAAUAUUUUGAACCGUAUGGUUCAAAAGUGAAAGACGGUCUUUGGGUCACUUAUAGAUGGAUCCGCGCUGCUUUAGCUAGUUGGUACGGUAACGGCUUACCAAGGCAACGAUGCAUAGCCGACGUGAGAGAGGGAUCGCCCACACUGGAACUGAGACGCCGUCCAUACUCCUACGGCAGGGAGCAGUCGGGAAUCUGCGGCAAUAGUGGAAAGCCUGAUGGAGCAAGGGCGCGUGUGUGAUGAAGGUCUUCGGAGCGUAAAACUCUGCUAUUAGGGAAAAACAUAUUUGUAAGUAACUGUGCACAACGUGACGGUACCUGAACAGAAAGCCACGGCUAACUACGUG